AGUGAACGCUGGCGGUAGGCCUAACACAUGCAAGUCGAACGGCAGCACAGUAAGAGCUUGCUCUUACGGGUGGCGAGUGGCGGACGGGUGAGGAAUACAUCGGAAUCUACUUUUUCGUGGGGGUUAACGUAGGGAAACUUACGCUAAUACCGCAUACGACCUACGGGUGAAAGCAGGGGAUCUUCGGACCUUGCGCGAUUGAAUGAGCCGAUGUCGGAUUAGCUAGUUGGCGGGGGAAAGGCCCACCAAGGCGACGAUCCGUAGCUGGUCUGAGAGGAUGAUCAGCCACACUGGAACUGAGACACGGUCCAGACUCCUACGGGAGGCAGCAGUGGGGAAUAUGGGACAAUGGGCGCAAGCCUGAUCCAGCCAUACCGCGUGGGUGAAGAAGGCCUUCGGGUUGUAAAGCCCUUUUGUUGGGAAAGAAAAGCAGCAGGUUAAUACCCCGCUGUUCUGACGGUACCCAAAGAAUAAGCACCGGCUAACUUCGUG
rnacentral:rRNA from 1 species